rnacentral:rRNA from 1 species
UACGUAGGGGGCAAGCGUUGUCCGGAUUUAUUGGGCGUAAAGAGCGUGUAGGCGGUCUGGAAGGUCAGCUGUGAAAACUCGAGGCUCAACCUCGGGACGUCGGUUGAAACCACCUGGCUAGAGUCCGGAAGAGGAGAGUGGAAUUCCUGGUGUAGCGGUGAAAUGCGCAGAUAUCAGGAAGAACACCCGUGGCGAAGGCGGCUCUCUGGGACGGUACUGACGCUGAGACGCGAAAGCGUGGGGAGCGAACAGG